ACUAAGCGUACACGGUGGAUGCCCUGGCAGUCAGAGGCGAUGAAGGGCGUGCUAAUCUGCGAUAAGCGCCGGUAAGGUGAUAUGAACCGUUAUAACCGGCGAUACCCGAAUGGGGAAACCCAGUGUGACUCGUCACACUAUCAUUAACUGAAUCCAUAGGUUAAUGAGGCGAACCGGGGGAACUGAAACAUCUAAGUACCCCGAGGAAAAGAAAUCAACCGAGAUUCCCCCAGUAGCGGCGAGCGAACGGGGAGGAGCCCAGAGCCUGAAUCAGCAUGUGUGUUAGUGGAAGCGUCUGGAAAGGCGCGCGAUACAGGGUGACAGCCCCGUACACAAAAGCGCAUGUGCUGUGAGCUCGAUGAGUAGGGCGGGACACGUGGUAUCCUGUCUGAAUAUGGGGGGACCAUCCUCCAAGGCUAAAUACUCCUGACUGACCGAUAGUGAACCAGUACCGUGAGGGAAAGGCGAAAAGAACCCCGGCGAGGGGAGUGAAAAAGAACCUGAAACCGUGUACGUACAAGCAGUGGGAGCCCCACCACUAAGCCAGUGGUGAACUCCACAUCCGCAUCCUUUGCUGAGGAUACGGUUAACGGAGCGAAAGCGACGUUCAACCUCAAAAGAAGCAGAGGGGGCUUAGUGGUGGGGUGACUGCGUACCUUUUGUAUAAUGGGUCAGCGACUUAUAUUCUGUAGCAAGGUUAACCGAAUAGGGGAGCCGGAGGGAAACCGAGUCUUAACCGGGCGUUAAGUUGCAGGGUAUAGACCCGAAACCCGGUGAUCUAGCCAUGGGCAGGUUGAAGGUUGGGUAACACUAACUGGAGGACCGAACCGACUAAUGUUGAAAAAUUAGCGGAUGACCUGUGGCUGGGGGUGAAAGGCCAAUCAAACCGGGAGAUAGCUGGUUCUCCCCGAAAGCUAUUUAGGUAGCGCCUCGUGAAUUCAUCUCCGGGGGUAGAGCACUGUUUCGGCUAGGGGGCCAUCCCGGCUUACCAACCCGAUGCAAACUGCGAAUACCGGAGAAUGUUAUCACGGGAGACACACGGCGGGUGCUAACGUCCGUCGUGAAGAGGGAAACAACCCAGACCGCCAGCUAAGGUCCCAAAGUCAUGGUUAAGUGGGAAACGAUGUGGGAAGGCCCAGACAGCCAGGAUGUUGGCUUAGAAGCAGCCAUCAUUUAAAGAAAGCGUAAUAGCUCACUGGUCGAGUCGGCCUGCGCGGAAGAUGUAACGGGGCUAAACCAUGCACCGAAGCUGCGGCAGCGACGCUUAUGCGUUGUUGGGUAGGGGAGCGUUCUGUAAGCCUGUGAAGGUGUGUCGUGAGGCAUGCUGGAGGUAUCAGAAGUGCGAAUGCUGACAUAAGUAACGAUAAAGCGGGUGAAAAGCCCGCUCGCCGGAAGACCAAGGGUUCCUGUCCAACGUUAAUCGGGGCAGGGUGAGUCGACCCCUAAGGCGAGGCCGAAAGGCGUAGUCGAUGGGAAACGGGUUAAUAUUCCCGUACUUGGUGUUACUGCGAAGGGGGGACGGAGAAGGCUAUGUUGGCCGGGCGACGGUUGUCCCGGUUUAAGCGUGUAGGCUGGUUUUCCAGGCAAAUCCGGAAAAUCAAGGCUGAGGCGUGACGACGAGGCACUACGGUGCUGAAGCAACAAAUGCCCUGCUUCCAGGAAAAGCCUCUAAGCAUCAGGUAACAUCAAAUCGUACCCCAAACCGACACAGGUGGUCAGGUAGAGAAUACCAAGGCGCUUGAGAGAACUCGGGUGAAGGAACUAGGCAAAAUGGUGCCGUAACUUCGGGAGAAGGCACGCUGACACGUAGGUGAAGUGAUUUACUCAUGGAGCUGAAGUCAGUCGAAGAUACCAGCUGGCUGCAACUGUUUAUUAAAAACACAGCACUGUGCAAACACGAAAGUGGACGUAUACGGUGUGACGCCUGCCCGGUGCCGGAAGGUUAAUUGAUGGGGUCAGCGCAAGCGAAGCUCCUGAUCGAAGCCCCGGUAAACGGCGGCCGUAACUAUAACGGUCCUAAGGUAGCGAAAUUCCUUGUCGGGUAAGUUCCGACCUGCACGAAUGGCGUAAUGAUGGCCAGGCUGUCUCCACCCGAGACUCAGUGAAAUUGAACUCGCUGUGAAGAUGCAGUGUACCCGCGGCAAGACGGAAAGACCCCGUGAACCUUUACUAUAGCUUGACACUGAACAUUGAGCCUUGAUGUGUAGGAUAGGUGGGAGGCUUUGAAGCGUGGACGCCAGUCUGCGUGGAGCCGACCUUGAAAUACCACCCUUUAAUGUUUGAUGUUCUAACGUGGACCCGUGAUCCGGGUUGCGGACAGUGUCUGGUGGGUAGUUUGACUGGGGCGGUCUCCUCCUAAAGAGUAACGGAGGAGCACGAAGGUUGGCUAAUCCUGGUCGGACAUCAGGAGGUUAGUGCAAUGGCAUAAGCCAGCUUGACUGCGAGCGUGACGGCGCGAGCAGGUGCGAAAGCAGGUCAUAGUGAUCCGGUGGUUCUGAAUGGAAGGGCCAUCGCUCAACGGAUAAAAGGUACUCCGGGGAUAACAGGCUGAUACCGCCCAAGAGUUCAUAUCGACGGCGGUGUUUGGCACCUCGAUGUCGGCUCAUCACAUCCUGGGGCUGAAGUAGGUCCCAAGGGUAUGGCUGUUCGCCAUUUAAAGUGGUACGCGAGCUGGGUUUAGAACGUCGUGAGACAGUUCGGUCCCUAUCUGCCGUGGGCGCUGGAGAACUGAGGGGGGCUGCUCCUAGUACGAGAGGACCGGAGUGGACGCAUCACUGGUGUUCGGGUUGUCAUGCCAAUGGCACUGCCCGGUAGCUAAAUGCGGAAGAGAUAAGUGCUGAAAGCAUCUAAGCACGAAACUUGCCCCGAGAUGAGUUCUCCCUGAGACUUAGAGUCUCCUGAAGGAACGUUGAAGACGACGACGUUGAUAGGCCGGGUGUGUAAGCGCAGCGAUGCGUUGAGCUAACCGGUACUAAUGAACCGUGAGGCUUAACC
rnacentral:rRNA from 1 species